rnacentral:tRNA from 1 species
GCUUCCUUAGUAUAAAGGUUAUUACACUUGUCUUGUAAGCUAGAGAUAAAAGUUCGAUUCUUUUAGGAAGCUCA